AUUUGUAUUUGGCGCCCUGCAGUUUCACUGGCUGUUGAAGAGGUGGGACGCUACCGUCUCACAUCACUACAGUCCCUGGUUCGAUUCCAGGCUGUAUCACAUCUGGCCGUGUUUGGGAGUCCCAUAGGGUGGUGCACAAUUGGCCCUGUGUCGCCGGGGUAGGCCAUCAUUAUGGGUGGAACGGAAACCCAGUGACAUCACUCGGGUCUGCAGUUGCCAUUUUCCGUUGGGAAAGAGAAAUGGCCCUGUAUUUACCAGAAAAGGUAGAUCAUCCAACAUGGCGGAAGAGGAAGAUUCAGACUGUUGAUUGGGAAACAAGAACAAACAAUGAGGCAUGAGGAUUGGAUGUCGAGGGACCACUUGUCACAUUGUCCAAGUCCAACAGCAGUGCAUCCCUCAGACCAUCCUGUGCAUGGACAUCUUGUGCCAGUGUGAUCCAAGUGCAAGCGUCCAGUUGUAGAGACUACAGCAGGUUGAGCCUGUGGAUGGACAGGUCAGUAACUCAUCAAAUGUUAUAAAACAAUUAAUUUGUAGAUACUGUAUAUCUGCACAGUAUGUUUGUGUAAGUUUCUCAUGACUUAAGAUUGGGUGUUGAGGGACCACCUGUCACAUUGUCCAAGGUGGGUUUGUGUUAUGAUAAACAAUGUGUUUUCUGUCCAGAUAAAAUAGGUGAUACAGCAUUGAAAAAGAGCUGCCACUGAGCAAAUGUCUCUUUGUUUUCCAGUCCAACAGGAGUGCAUCCUUCCAUACAUUUGUUGGAAGUCAUGUACUCUCUCAUUCUGGGGGUAAGUGUUAGUGGAAUUAAAUAAUUCCUCUAAUGUACUCAUUAAUUAAAAUCAAUCUGUUUAUUUAUAAGAAUUUGUAAGAUACUUAUUAACAUAAAAUAGACAGGAUACAGUCUUAUUAAAAUUAGAUAAUAGUAUUUAUUCUCGGAGCACGCACCCAUUUGAUCAUAAACAACAGGUUUAUAUACAAGAUAUGACGUCAUAGGUUACAUAAUAAGUCUCCUUGUCCUGACAAAUAGAAAACAGGUUGAAAAGUUCAUUCCAACUUCCCAGCGCACACACAUGACACACAAUAUAAUCUAUCCUCCUGAAGGCUGACUAUAAUUUAUUACCACUUUAGCAGACAACUCAAGAUAAUGGAAGACCUAAAAAGUUACCCACAGCCUUAUCUAAACACCUCAGGGCUAAGUUGGGUCAGUUCAACCAUAGUUUAACGACCCUUUCUGCUUAUUUUAUAACCCACAACACAAAUCUCUUGUCACCAGGCGUGCAGAGUUCAAUUAGUUAUAGUUUUAUCUAAAGCUAGAAUUUGUUUUAAUUAUUUAUUAACAAAAUUCCUAACAGUAAGACAUCAUUUAAACAUCACAGAUAUAAAUUCCCACUGUGCCCAUGAUAAAAUGCAAUGUGGAUUGUGUUGUAUUACUGAAUGAAAAUGAGGAGAUGGACUCAGACCAGCCUUUGUAAUUGAACUUAAAGGAACUACAUGACUUUAGUUGGUUGCUUUGAGCAAAACUUGAAUGCAAUAUAACUUAUUUUAGGAGCCUAUUGUUUGUGUAUGAUCUUUAUUCAUUGUUCACUUGUUUUUCAACAAUGUCAGAUACAGGCAGGGUUGACUGGGUCCUUCAGCAAGUAAGACACAGGGGGUAAGAAAUAAUUUCAACAUCACAGAUAUAUAUUCCCACUGCCCAUGAUAAAGUUAACUACAUUACUUUAGUUGGCUGCUUUGAGCAAAACUUGUAUGUACUAUAAUAUAACCUAUUCUGGGAGCCUAGUGUGUGUGUGUGAACUAUGUGGAAUAUUUUUGGACCAUUGGCUACCCUGAAAACAUGUACUGAUAGGAGGAGCAAUAUGAGUCUGUCAGAGGUCGUCACGCUGGAUGGGGAUGCUGAUGGAGGCUUUGGUGGUCCACACAACAAAGAAACAGGUGUCCCUUCCAGUGAUAUGGAGCUGACCUUGGACCUGGUGCCAGUAAGCAUGGUCUUCAAUGAAGCUGUAAGACCCUCCCUCCUUGACAUAGAAAUCCUUCGACUUCACUGCCUCGAUGCCCUCCUAUUAGUUAUCUGUUCCUCACUUUAACACACCAUACAACACACCAUCCAACGACUGUGAUCUGAGGACUCUUUUUAGCAGCGAUAGAGUAAUGCACUUGGCCCUAACCACUGCUCCAUAAUUGCUGGCCGUCAACUUCCCUCUCCUCAUGGUUUGCCAGUUGCGAUUGGUGCGCUGCCCAACUGUUGUCUGGCGUUUAGCCUCCUGCUACUCCACCGACAGCGCCAUGCCAGCCAUGAGGCCUGCAUGCCCCAUGUGCCCUUGUUUUUGAACAUUGUCCGGUACAGACAUGGAUGACAGGGAGGGUAGCGGUUGUUCUGGCUCAGGUUCAAGGAGACAUGACAUGUCGGUUCCUCUGUGGCUCCCGGGACAGAGGGUUGUAGUCUUCGGCCGGGUACAGGUCCUCCACUGACUGCACCUGGUUGGGCACGGCUGGCUUCCUCCACUCGCAUUCCACAUUCCACAUCACGAUAGCAACCAAAACCAUGUAAGUCAGUUUAUAACAUCCUUGUUUACUCUGAGAUUUCUACGUAUUGACAUUAGCUAUGGUGCUAACCUUGGAAAAGUAAUUCCAAUUUCUCCUUCCUCUUUACUAAUAGGGAUAGACCAAAUGGUGCAGUUCUAUUCAAUCUUAUAGCCAUACCAACUAUAUCAAUAUCAACCAUCAGGCAGGGCCUGCAACCGCCUAUUGAACGUAGUUUGUUUGAGUUGGAGACUCCAUGUGAAAUCGUAAAGAUUACAUCUUAAACUGGAUUACAUGAAGAUCUGGGCUAUGGAGAUGAAUCUGGACAUCGUGGUAUUGACGGAAACUUGGAUCUCUAAGGACAUUCUAGACUGAUAUUAAUAUUAAGAGUAUAGAUUGUAGAGUGGCCAUUCAUAUAUUUUUUUAAACGUCUCUUUACUGAAAUCCAUUUCACUUGCCCAAAAAUGUUAGCUAAAAAAUGGAAGCCAUUGUCUGGGGAAAAAUGUAUCCAUAACUCUUAUAAGGGUCUACCGUCCUCCCUUGGCUAACUUUUGUGUACUCAUGGAAUUCACUAGUUUGUUGUCUUCUUUUACUAAAUCAGAAGUUAAUAUCCUGGGUGACCUAAAUUAUGAUUGAGAAAUACAGGCUUCAGACAAUCCAAAAGACGUGUAAUGAUCUAAACCUAACCCAGCUGUUGACUAAGCCUACACGGCCCAACCCCGACCCUCAAAGUCAGCUCUUAUUGAUGUUAUUUUAACGAAUACAGCAGAGAAAAAUGUGACCCAUUUCAAGAAACUAGGCAUAUGUCACACGUCACUACUUCACAGAUGAGGCAUUUUAAUUCCUUUUUAUUUAAAUACAUUUUUGGCAGAAAUGUCUUCUGUAAUGUGAACUUUGCAGGCCUUAAUAACAAACUUGUAUUCCAUCUGUAAAUACAAAUAAAAUGGUUAAAUUACAAGCCUAGUUGGUUUAGCCACGGACAAAGGCAGGAACUGGGGGGUGGUUAUAGCAUUUCUUUCACAUGACCCAUCAAUUUAGACAAGUGUGUCUGGUAAGGGUCAUCUAAUAAUAAAAUAAUAUUUAUAAAACA